CCGUGCUAGCCGGGGAGGCAGCGGUGCCCUGUAGCCCGAAAACCGCUAUAGCGGGGGUGACGCCCGUCCCGAGGUGUAUUCUUUUCGGGGCAGACCCAACCGAACGGUGCCGAGGGGUAAGUCCCGCGCAACGCGACCCGCCGAACCGCGUCAGGCCCUGACGGGAGCAGCGCUAAGGCGGCAGCCGAGUGUGCCGCGGGGGAGCUUGCCCUGAGCCGUUCCUUUGGGGACCGCCCGGGGAGAUACGUCGGAGGCGGGCGCACGG
rnacentral:SRP_RNA from 1 species